ACGGGUGAGUAACGCGUGGGAACGUGCCCUUCGGUUCGGAAUAACUCAGGGAAACUUGAGCUAAUACCGGAUACGCCCUUAUGGGGAAAGGCUUGACUGCCGAAGGAUCGGCCCGCGUCUGAUUAGCUAGUUGGUGAGGUUACGGCUCACCAAGGCGACGAUCAGUAGCUGGUCUGAGAGGAUGAUCAGCCACACUGGGACUGAGACACGGCCCAGACUCCUACGGGAGGCAGCAGUGGGGAAUAUUGGACAAUGGGGGCAACCCUGAUCCAGCCAUGCCGCGUGAGUGAUGACGGCCUUAGGGUUGUAAAGCUCUUUUCUCCGGGACGAUAAUGACGGUACCGGAGGAAUAAGCCCCGGCUAACUUCGUGCCAGCAGCCGCGGUAAUACGAAGGGGGCUAGCGUUGCUCGGAAUCACUGGGCGUAAAGGGCGCGUAGGCGGCUGACUUAGUCGAGGGUGAAAGCCCGUGGCUCAACCACGGAAUGGCCUUCGAUACUGGUUGGCUUGAGACCGGAAGAGGACAGCGGAACUGCGAGUGUAAAGGUGAAAUUCGUAGA
rnacentral:rRNA from 1 species